UACGUAGGGUGCAAGCGUUACUCGGAAUUACUGGGCGUAAAGCGUGCGCAGGCGGUUAUGUAAGCCAGUUGGGAAAUCCCCGGGCUCAACCUGGGAACUGCAUCUGUGACUGCAUAGCUAGAGUACGGUAGAGGGGGAUGGAAUUCCGCGUGUAGCAGUGAAAUGCGUAGAUAUGCGGAGGAACACCGAUGGCGAAGGCAAUCCCCUGGACCUGUACUGACGCUCAUGCACGAAAGCGUGGGGAGCAAACAGG
rnacentral:rRNA from 1 species